rnacentral:pre_miRNA from 1 species
UGUGUACUCCCUCCGUUCCAAAAUACUUGACUUCCAUUUGUCCAGAAAUGGAUGUACCUAUAUACUAAAACAUGUCUAGAUACAUAUAUAUUUUGACAAAUAGAAGGCAUGUAUUGUGCAACGGAGGGAGUAGAAU